rnacentral:sRNA from 1 species
UCAAGAGGAUCGAAGGCUAAAUUCGCCACAUCGUGUGGCGACGCCUUCAUGACCCACAUCGUGUGGG